UACGGAGGGUACAAGCGUUAAUCGGAAUUACUGGGCGUAAAGCGUGCGCAGGCGGUUUGUUAAGUCUGCUGUGAAAUCCCCGAGCUCAACUUGGGAAUUGCAGUGGAUACUGGCAAGCUGGAGUACGGUAGAGGAAGGUGGAAUUCCCGGUGUAGCAGUGAAAUGCGUAGAGAUCGGGAGGAACACCAGUGGCGAAGGCGGCCUUCUGGACCAGUACUGACGCUCAUGCACGAAAGCGUGGGGAGCAACAGGA
rnacentral:rRNA from 1 species